CCUACGGGUGGCAGCAGUGAGGAAUAUUGGUCAAUGGGCGCAGGCCUGAACCAGCCAAGUAGCGUGAAGGAUGACUGCCCUACGGGUUGUAAACUUCUUUUAUAAAGGAAUAAAGUUGACCACGUGUACCUUGUUGCCCGUACUUGAUGAAUAAGGAUCGGCUAACUCCGUGCCAGCAGCCGCGGUAAUACGGAGGAUCCGAGCGUUAUCCGGAUUUAUGGGGGUUAAAGGGUGCGUAGGUGGUUUGUUAAGUUAGUUGUGAAAGGUUGGGGCUCAACCGUAAAUUUGCAAUUGAUACUGGCAGACUUGAGUACAGACGAGGUAGGCGGAAUACGUGGUGUAGCGGUGAAAUGCUUAGAUAUCACGAAGAACUCCGAUAGCGAAGGCAGCCUACUAGACUGUAACUGACACUGAUGCUCGAAAGUGUGGGUAUCAAACAGGAUUAGAUACCCGUGUAGUC
rnacentral:rRNA from 1 species